rnacentral:rRNA from 1 species
GCAUAUCAAUAAGCGGAGGAAAAGAAACUAACAAGGAUUCCCCUAGUAACUGCGAGUGAAGCGGGAAAAGCUCAAAUUUAAAAAUCUGGCUGCCUCUGGUGGCCUGAGUUGUAAUCUGGAGAAGCGUUUUCCGCGUCGGACCGUGUACAAGUCUUCUGGAAUGGAGCGUCGUAGAGGGUGAGAAUCCCGUCUCUGACACGGACUGCCGAUGCUUUUGUGAUGCGCUCUCGAAGAGUCGAGUUGUUUGGGAAUGCAGCUCAAAAUGGGUGGUAAAUUCCAUCUAAAGCUAAAUAUUGGCGAGAGACCGAUAGCGAACAAGUACCGUGAGGGAAAGAUGAAAAGCACUUUGGAAAGAGAGUUAAACAGUACGUGAAAUUGUUGAAAGGGAAACGCUUGAAGUCAGUCGCGUCACCCGAGACUCAGCCUGGCUUGCCUGGUGUACUUCUCGGUUGACGGGUCAGCAUCAGUUUUGACCGCCGGACAAAGGCCAGGGGAAUGUGGCAUCCCUCGGGAUGUGUUAUAGCCUCUGGUUCGCAUACGGCGAUUGGGACUGAGGAACUCAGCACGCCUUUAUGGUCGGGGUUCGCCCACGUAACGUGCUUAGGAUGCUGGCAUAAUGGCUUUAAGCGACCCGUCUUGAAACACGGACCAAGGAGUCUAACAUGCCCGCGAGUGUUUGGGUGUCAAACCCGAGCGCGCAAUGAAAGUGAAAAUUGAGAUCCCUGUCGUGGGGAGCAUCGAUGCCCGGACCAGACCUUCUGUGACGGAUCUGCGGUAGAGCGUGUAUGUUGGGACCCGAAAGAUGGUGAACUAUGCCUGAAUAGGGUGAAGCCAGAGGAAACUACUGGUGGAGGCUCGUAGCGAUUCUGACGUGCAAAUCGAUCGUCGAAUUUGGGUAUAGGGGGCGAAAGACUAAUCGAACCAUCUAGUAGCUGGUUUCCUGCCGAAG